rnacentral:rRNA from 1 species
UGGGGAAUAUUGCACAAUGGGCGGAAGCCUGAUGCAGCAACGCCGCGUGAGUGAUGAAGGCCUUCGGGUUGUAAAGCUCUGUCUUUUGGGACGAUAAUGACGGUACCAAAGGAGGAAGCCACGGCUAACUACGUGCCAGCAGCCGCGGUAAUACGUAGGUGGCAAGCGUUGUCCGGAUUUACUGGGCGUAAAGGAUGCGUAGGCGGAUUUUUAAGUGAGAUGUGAAAUACCCGGGCUUAACUUGGGUGCUGCAUUUCAAACUGGGAAUCUAGAGUGCGGGAGAGGAGAAUGGAAUUCCUAGUGUAGCGGUGAAAGUGCGUAGAGAUUAGGAAGAACACCAGUGGCGAAGGCGAUUCUCUGGACCGUAACUGACGCUGAGGCAUG